rnacentral:misc_RNA from 1 species
CUGAUGAAGCAGGACGGCAAACUCAAUGUUGUGGUCCUCAUUGCCAAUGGAGAUCGCUUGAAGGAGGUAGUGCUCGAGCCGUCCAAAGUCAGAAGGGGAAAGUCAGCACACCAUUAGACGGGCCGACAGCCGCCAACNNNNNNGCGGGCGCCUUCGCCUCGGUUCGACUCUCCGCUCUCGCCAUGGCGUUUGAGAUCAUCAAGCCCUUAGCUGCUGUCUUACAAUUCCUUCUUCUGAGUCAAUCCGAUUUGAA